rnacentral:rRNA from 1 species
GUGCCAGCCGCCGCGGUAAUACGUAGGUGGCAAGCGUUGUCCGGAUUUAUUGGGCGUAAAGCGAGCGCAGGCGGUUUCUUAAGUCUGGUGUGAAAGCCCCCGGCUCAACCGGGGAGGGUCAUUGGAAACUGGGAGACUUGAGUGCAGAAGAGGAGAGUGGAAUUCCAUGUGUAGCGGUGAAAUGCGUAGAUAUAUGGAGGAACACCAGUGGCGAAGGCGGCUCUCUGGUCUGUAACUGACGCUGAGGCUCGAAAGCGUGGGGAGCGAACAGGAUUAGAUACCCUGGUAGUCCACGCCGUAAACGAUGAGUGCUAAGUGUUGGAGGGUUUCCGCCCUUCAGUGCUGCAGCAAACGCAUUAAGCACUCCGCCUGGGGAGUACGACCGCAAGGUUGAAACUCAAAGGAAUUGACGGGGGCCCGCACAAGCGGUGGAGCAUGUGGUUUAAUUCGAAGCAACGCGAAGAACCUUACCAGGUCUUGACAUCCUUUGACCACUCUAGAGAUAGAGCUUCCCCUUCGGGGGCAAAGUGACAGGUGGUGCAUGGUUGUCGUCAGCUCGUGUCGUGAGAUGUUGGGUUAAGUCCCGCAACGAGCGCAACCCUUAUUGUUAGUUGCCAUCAUUUAGUUGGGCACUCUAGCGAGACUGCCGGUGACAAACCGGAGGAAGGUGGGGAUGACGUCAAAUCAUCAUGCCCCUUAU